rnacentral:sRNA from 1 species
GCCUAGCCUGAUAAAAGUGAAAAUCCUUUUGUGCAGGGGUUCGGCACAAAAGAUUGUAACGGAUAACAGAAAACAGC